AGAGUUUGAUCCUGGCUCAGAACGAACGCUGGCGGCAGGCCUAACACAUGCAAGUCGAGCGCACUUAUUUCCUUCGGGUUAUAGGCGAGCGGCGGACGGGUUAGUAACGCGUGGGAACGUACCCUUUACUACGGAAUAGCCUUUGGAAACGAAGAGUAAUACCGUAUACGCCCUUUGGGGGAAAGAUUUAUCGGUAAAGGAUCGGCCCGCGUUAGAUUAGAUAGUUGGUGGGGUAAUGGCCUACCAAGUCUACGAUCUAUAGCUGGUUUGAGAGGAUGAUCAGCAACACUGGGACUGAGACACGGCCCAGACUCCUACGGGAGGCAGCAGUGGGGAAUCUUAGACAAUGGGCGAAAGCCUGAUCUAGCCAUGCCGCGUGAGUGAAGAAGGCCUUAGGGUCGUAAAACUCUUUCGCCAGAGAUGAUAAUGACAGUAUCUGUAAAGAAACCCCGCUAACU
rnacentral:rRNA from 1 species